rnacentral:lncRNA from 1 species
GCGGGCGCCGAGUGCUGCGGGAAGGGAGGGAGACCCCGGAACACACCAGCCGCCUCUGUCCGCUGGGCGACGCUGCUCAGAGUGAGCGAUCGCCCGGGGCUCCAGGCGGGGACGCCUUUCUGCCGUCUCGAAUUUACGGUGAUUAAACACCUCCAAGCUGCCACUGUUCUUCAAAUAUCUUGGAUCACUCUGAGCACGCAUUUCGGUUGUGAAAGCAAAAAGGAAAAGGAGCAACCCAAAGCCUAAAGAAAACUGUUCUCGUCCGGGCAUGGUGGCUCACGCCUGUAAUCCCAGCACUUUGGGAGGCCGAGAUGGGUGGAUCACCUGAGGUCAGAUUCGAGACCAGCCUGGCAAACAUGGUGAAACCCCCGUCUCUACUAAAAAUACAAAAAAAAAAACAAAAUAGCCAGGCGUGGUGGCGGGCACCUGUAAUCCCAGCUACCUGGGAGGCUGAGGCAGGAGAAUCGCUUGAACCCAGGAGGCGGAGGUUGCAGUGAGCUGAGAUUGUGUCACUGCACUGUAGCUUGGGCAAGAAGAGCAAAAAACCCUGUCUCAAAAAAAAAAAAAAAAAAAAAAAAAAAAAGAAAAGAAAAAGAAAAAAGAAAAAAAAAAGAGAAAAAGAAAACUCUUUUCCACCAGGAUUAGCCACAGUGGGUUGCUUGGAGGCAGAAUUGUUGUUCCUUAUUAAGACCUCAUCAUUGAGAAAAACAAAAUCUGAGUAUGAAAGUUUUUGCAGCUGACCAGUGAGCCAGGUGUCUUGGUCUAGUGCUGGUGUGUUACACUCCGGAAGGGCUUCUCCUUACUCGUUCUGCUGAAUCAAAACGCCUUACAGGGUACCAGGCCCUCUCUCAGGUUGCUCAUUCUACCUCCUGUCUUAUCUCACUCAUUCAUUAAACAUUUGUGCAGCACCUGAUACCCUGCCUGUCCCUUCUCACAGGCAACCAGAUGUUGUCCUCGUCUUAAGGAGCCAGAUGAUGUGGGUUUCAGCCGUGGAAACUUAGCAAACUUACUUCAGGCCAGCUCGAUGGCUCACACCUGUAAUCCCAGCACUUUUGGAGGCCGAGGCAGGAGGAUCGCCUGAGCCCAGCAGUUUGAGACCAGCCCGGUUUCGCAACACAGCGAAACCCCAUCUCUACACAAAAUACAAAAAAUUAGCCAGGCGUGGUGGCGCCUGCCUGUAGUCUCAGCUACAUGGGAGGCUGAGGUGGGAGGAUCACUUGAGCCUGGGAGUUCGAGGCUGCAGUGUGCUGUGAUCCCCCUACUGCACUCCAGCCUAGGCGACAGAGCAAAAGACCCUGUCUCUAAACAACAACAACAACAAAAAGAAAACAACGAAAGAAAAAAAAAGAGAAAACUUACUUCAUCUGUCUGAAGCUUGGUGUUGUCAACAGUAAAAUGGAGAUGGCAAUAUCUGCUCUGUCUCCACCCAGCAUUGUUGGGAAGCGCAGCAAAGAUAAUAACGUUCACAAAAGCAUUUGAAUGUCCCCGUGUAUGUAAGGGGAGCUAUAAGUUCAGUGCCUUCACUGCUUAAUGAUGACUUUUCCUGUCCCUACCCCCCUUCACGAGUCCCAAGGAUCUGUUAGUGGCCUUUAUUUCCGAACAACCAGGUACGAUAUCAGAGCCCAAGGCUAAAAAAAAAGGAGGGAUCCUCCCACACACAGUUCUUUGCUAAAGCUGACCGAGUAAAACUGUAAACUGUCCAAGUCCUAACCCCCACUGUUGCAGAGGAACAGGUGCACUCUCACAUCUUUCUGUCUUAUAAAUACACCUCAUGCUAUUGUGGGCUGAAACAGUCCCUUCUUGUAUUAACUGCAGUGCCUAUUCCCUGAAUUCCAGUUUACUAAUAAUCUGGGGAAUUUAUCUGGAAGAUAGCGUUUGGUUCAUUCCUUGUCUACUUUAUGCUUAAUUGCUAGAAGUUUCAGAAGAGGAAGAAGAGGCGAGGGGCAAUAGGGAGACCAGUUAUAUUGGUUAGUAUUUUUGUUUAUGAACAAUAGAAACUAAAGCUGGCUAACUGGAAACUCAUAGAAUCAAUGGGACCAGGUGUGGAAAUGAGUAGAACGGGAAAAUAUUGGUUGGCCAAGAAAAAAAAAAUAAACAAAAAUAAAACAAGCAAACACCCAAACCAAAUACCCACUUUGUGGACUACUUUAAAAAUAACUUAUAUUUUUGGUUUUAGCAGGGAUUUUUCUUUUGCAAGUAUGAUUUCAUUGUUUUUUUAAAAAAUCUAAGCUUGUAAAAUAGUUUGUAGAAGCAUAGGUAAAAUCUGACAUGUUUAUUUUAUUUAAAACUUUUUGGCCAGGCGUGGUGGCUCAUGCCUGUCAUCCCAGAGCCCUGGGAGGCCGAGGCAGGCAGAUCCCUUGAGCCCAGGAGUUUGAGAUCAGCCUGAGCAAAAUGGCAAAACCCCAUCUCUACUAAAAAUAUAAAAAAUUAGCCAGGCAUGAUGGCAUGUGUCUGUA